rnacentral:rRNA from 1 species
UACGGGGGGGGCAAGCGUUGUUCGGAAUUACUGGGCGUAAAGGGUUCGUAGGUGGCUUGCUAAGUCAGACGUGAAAUCCCUCAGCUUAACUGGGGAACUGCGUCUGAUACUGGCGAGCUUGAGUGCAGGAGAGGAACGCAGAAUUCCAGGUGUAGCGGUGAAAUGCGUAGAUAUCUGGAGGAACACCGGUGGCGAAGGCGGCAUCCUGGACCAACACUGACGCUGAGGAGCGAAAGCCAGGGGAGCAAACGGG